CUUCCUGAAAGGUUUUCGUUUGUGUAGCCAUUUUCGUUUGUGUUGAAACGAAUUACGAAUUUGAUUUAUUCCAAGUGAAAUUUUCUUAAAGACAUCUGUUUGAUACAGUUCAUCUGAGAUCCUAAAAAGAAAAGAUGAGUGAUAGAGAAACAAGUCCAAGUCCACAGGAAAAUGGAUCUCAUCAUUCAGGAGAAAGAAGUCCUUCUCCUCAAGGUUCCAGAUCUCCUGUAGGCGAGGAUGGCCGACGUAGUAGAAGUCCACGGAGUAGAACACGUUCUCGCUCUAGAUCACGAUCUUAUUCUCGAUCUUAUUCACGUAGACGUCAUUCAUGUUCUCGAUCAAGAAGUCGUUCUCGUUCUCGUCGACAUAGACAUCAUUAUUGCAGCCGUUCUCGUUCAAGAUCUCCCAGACAUCGCAGAUAAUAAUUGUUUGAA
rnacentral:lncRNA from 1 species